ACCUUAUGAUGAGAAAUUUGCCCAGUUCUGCUACUGAAUGGAAGUGGUGACAAUUGGUUUCUGAAGGU
ensembl:snoRNA